rnacentral:rRNA from 1 species
AGAGUUUGAUCCUGGCUCAGAACGAACGCUGGCGGCGUGCUUAACACAUGCAAGUCGAGUGCGCGUUUCUGUAGCAAUACAACUGGCGCACGGCGCACGGGUGCGUAACACGUGGGCAAUCUGCCCUUCGAUGGGGAAUAACUCCGGGAAACCGAAGCUAAUUCCGCAUAACAUUCCUUGGACCUCGGUUCGAGGACUCAAAGCCGUAAGGCGUCGAAGGAGGAGCCCGCGCACGAUUAGCUAGUUGGUAGGGUAACGGCCUACCAAGGCUUUGAUCGUUAGCUGGUCUGAGAGGAUGGCCAGCCACACUGGAACUGAGACACGGUCCAGACUCCUACGGGAGGCAGCAGUGGGGAAUCUUGCACAAUGGGCGAAAGCCUGAUGCAGCGACGCCGCGUGGGGGAUGAAGCAUCUCGGUGUGUAAACCCCUUUCGACCCGGACGAAUGCCUCGCAAGAGGAGUGACGGUACGGGUAUAAGAAGCCCCGGCUAACUACGUGCCAGCAGCCGCGGUAAGACGUAGGGGGCCAGCGUUGUUCGGAAUUACUGGGUGUAAAGGGUCAGUAGGCGGUGUGGCAAGUCGGGAGUGAAAUCUCUGGGCUCAACCCAGAGGCUGCUUCCGAAACUGCCGUGCUAGAGUGUGGGAGAGGCGCGUGGAAUUGCAGGUGUAGCGGUGAAAUGCGUAGAUAUCUGCAGGAACACCCGUGGCGAAAGCGGCGCGCUGGACCACAACUGACGCUGAAUGACGAAAGCUAGGGGAGCAAACAGGAUUAGAUACCCUGGUAGUCCUAGCCCUAAACGAUCAGGACUUGGGGUGCCGCACGUUCGUGCGUCGUCCCGGAGCUAACGCGUUAAGUCCUGCACCUGGGGAGUACGGUCGCAAGACUGAAACUCAAAGGAAUUGACGGGGGCCGCACAAGCGUGAACAUGUGGUCAUUCGACGCUACGCGAGACUACUGGGCUCGAGCGCACCUGACUAGCUGUAGAAAUACGCUCCCGCAGGAAGGUGUGGAGGCCCUGCAUGCUGUUCGUCAGCUCUGCAUGGAGGUGUUGGUUAGUCCCGCAACGAGGCCACCUUGACGUAUUUGCACUCCGAGGAGGAACUCUAGUGAACUGCUCGGAUACGGAAGAAAAUGUGUGGCGAUC